AGUGAACGCUGGCGGUAGGCCUAACACAUGCAAGUCGAACGGCAGCACAGUAAGAGCUUGCUCUUACGGGUGGCGAGUGGCGGACGGGUGAGGAAUACAUCGGAACCUCCUUUUUCGUGGGGGAUAACGUAGGGAAACUUCCGCUAAUACCGCAUACGACCUACGGUUGAAAGCAGGGGAUCUUCGGACCUUGCGCGAUUGAAUGAGCCGAUGUCGGAUUAGCUAGUUGGCGGGGUAAAGGCCCACCAAGGCGACGAUCCGUAGCUGGUCUGAGAGGAUGAUCAGCCACACUGGAACUGAGACACGGUCCAGACUCCUACGGGAGGCAGCAGUGGGGAAUAUUGGACAAUGGGCGCAAGCCUGAUCCAGCCAUACCGCGUGGGUGAAGAAGGCCUUCGGGUUGUAAAGCCCUUUUGUUGGGAAAGAAAAGCAGCAGGUUAAUACCCCGCUGUUCUGACGGUACCCAAAGAAUAAGCACCGGCUAACUUCGUG
rnacentral:rRNA from 1 species